CACAUUACCAUUGUCUGUAGUAAUAUCAUCACAGAUCAAUUGAUUUUAGUUGGAUUUUUACCAUUUUUUCUGUGAAAUGAGUAUACUGUUUGGUGAAAAGAAUGGCAUAUUGGCUGAUGUCAUAACUUGGGGUAAUAGUUGAUUGCCAAUGAAGUAAAGAUGAAAAUAUUGAAAAAAAAAGUGAGAAAACGCCUAUUUUUUGCAUUAAAUUGAGCCAAAAUCAUGUAGAAAAGUCUUUUAAGAGUUAUUUUGUCAGUGUAUGUUGUCAGCACAUAUGCUCUGUGUAACUGGAAUGUAUUUAUUGACAGCCUACCCAAACCACUGACGAUUUGAGGGAAAGAAUCACCUCUCACAUUUUUCUGAUAAAAAGUGAAGGAUGCAUACACUAAAAUGGGCACAAUUUUUUUUCACGAUAUUUCUGGCAGAGCAGACCCUCCAAUUAUUGUUGCUUAGGGUCAGAAUUAACAUGAAAAACACAAAUAAAAA